rnacentral:rRNA from 1 species
UACAUAGGGAGCGAGCGUUAUCCGGAUUUAUUGGGUGUAAAGGGUGCGUAGACGGGAAUACAAGUUGGUUGUGAAAUCCCUCGGCUCAACCUAGGAACUGCAACCAAAACUAUAUUUCUUGAGUGCUGGAGAGGAAAGUGGAAUUCCUAGUGUAGCGGUGAAAUGCGUAGAUAUUGGGAGGAACACCAGUGGCGAAGGCGACUUUCUGGACGAUAACUGACGUUGAGGCACGAAAGUGUGGGGAGCAAACA